rnacentral:rRNA from 1 species
GACGAACGCUGGCGGCGUGCCUAACACAUGCAAGUCGAGCGAAUGAAGUUCCUUCGGGAAUGGAUUUAGCGGCGGACGGGUGAGUAACACGUGGGCAACCUGCCUCAUAGAGAGGAAUAGCCUCCCGAAAGGGAGAUUAAUACCGCAUAAGAUUGUAGUACCGCAUGAUACAGCAAUUAAAGGAGCAAUCCGCUAUGAGAUGGGCCCGCGGCGCAUUAGCUAGUUGGUGAGGUAAUGGCUCACCAAGGCGACGAUGCGUAGCCGACCUGAGAGGGUGAUCGGCCACAUUGGGACUGAGACACGGCCCAGACUCCUACGGGAGGCAGCAGUGGGGAAUAUUGCACAAUGGGGGAAACCCUGAUGCAGCAACGCCGCGUGAGUGAUGACGGCCUUCGGGUUGUAAAGCUCUGUCUUCAGGGACGAUAAUGACGGUACCUGAGGAGGAAGCCACGGCUAACUACGUG